rnacentral:rRNA from 1 species
AGAACGAACGCUGGCGGCAGGCCUAACACAUGCAAGUCGAACGCCCCGCAAGGGGAGUGGCAGACGGGUGAGUAACACGUGGGAACCUUCCUAUUAGUAUGGAAUAGACCAGGGAAACUUGGAUUAAUACCGUAUACGCCCUAAGGGGGAAAGAUUUAUCGCUAAUAGAUGGGCCCGCGUAAGAUUAGCUAGUUGGUGAGGUAAUGGCUCACCAAGGCUACGAUCUUUAGCUGGUUUGAGAGAAUGAUCAGCCACACUGGAACUGAGACACGGUCCAGACUCCUACGGGAGGCAGCAGUGGGGAAUAUUGGACAAUGGGCGCAAGCCUGAUCCAGCCAUGCCGCGUGAAUGAUGAAGGCCUUCGGUUGUAAAGUUCUUUUAGUGGAGAAAUAAUGAUGGUAUCCACAGAAAAGCCCGGACUAACUUCGUGCCAGCAGCCGC